CCCUUAGAUGUUCUGGGCCGCACGCGCGCUACACUGACGAAUGCAACGAGCUUAUAACCUUGGCCGAAAGGUCUGGGUAAUCUCCAAAUUUCGUCGUGAUGGGGAUAGAUUAUUGCAAUUAUUAAUCUUCAACGAGGAAUGCCUAGUAAGCGCAAGUCAUCAGCUUGCGUUGAUUACGUCCCUGCCCUUUGUACACACCGCCCGUCGCUCCUACCGAUUGAAUGGUCCGGUGAAGCGUUCGGACCGUGGCCUUUGGACGGUUCGCCGUCUGUUGGCUGCGGGAAGUUCGUUAAACCUUAUCAUUUAGCGGAAGGAGAANUCGUAACA
rnacentral:rRNA from 1 species